rnacentral:rRNA from 1 species
GACGAACGCUGGCGGCGUGCCUAAUACAUGCAAGUUGAGCGCUGAAGGUUGGUACUUGUACCAACUGGAUGAGCAGCGAACGGGUGAGUAACGCGUGGGGAAUCUGCCUUUGAGCGGGGGACAACAUUUGGAAACGAAUGCUAAUACCGCAUAAAAACUUUAAACACAAGUUUUAAGUUUGAAAGAUGCAAUUGCAUCACUCAAAGAUGAUCCCGCGUUGUAUUAGCUAGUUGGUGAGGUAAAGGCUCACCAAGGCGAUGAUACAUAGCCGACCUGGGAUGGUGAUCGGCCGCAUUGGGACUGAGACACGGCCCAAACUCCUACGGGAGGCAGCAGUAGGGAAUCUUCGGCAAUGGACGAAAGUCUGACCGAGCAACGCCGCGUGAGUGAAGAAGGUUUUCGGUUCGUAAAACUCUGUUGGUAGAGAAGAACGUUGGUGAGAGUGGAAAGCUCAUCAAGUGACGGUAACUACCCAGAAAGGGACGGCUAACUACGUGCCAGCCGCCGCUGUAAAAC